CUCAGAUCAGGCAGGAUUACCCGCUGAACUUAAGCAUAUCAAUAAGCGGAGGAAAAGAAACUAACAAGGAUUCCCCUAGUAACGGCGAGUGAAGCGGGAAGAGCUCAAAUUUGUAAUCUGGCCCUUUCAGGGUCCGAGUUGUAAUCUCGAGAAGUGUUUUCCGCGCCGGACCGCAUACAAGUCUGUUGGAAUACAGCGUCAUAGUGGUGAGAGCCCCGUAAUUGAUGUGGAUGCCCGGUGCUUUGUGAUACACUUUCGAAGAGUCGAGUUGUUUGGGAAUGCAGCUCAAAUUGGGUGGUAAAUUCCAUCUAAAGCUAAAUAUUGGCGAGAGACCGAUAGCGAACAAGUACCGUGAGGGAAAGAUGAAAAGCACUUUGGAAAGAGAGUUAACAGUACGUGAAAUUGUUGGAAGGGAAACGCUUGAAGUCAGACUUGCUAUUCGGAAUUCAGCCGCAAGGUGUACUUUUCGAUUUGCAGGCCAGCAUCAGUUUUUGGGGGUGGAAAAGGGUGGAGAGAAGGUAGCAACCUUGGUUGUGUUAUAGCUCUUUACUGGAUUCAUCUUUGGGGACUGAGGAUCGCAGUGCGCAAUUUACUUUGCAAACCUUUCGAGGUUUUCGUACUUAGGAUGCUGGUGGAAUGGCUUUAAACGACCCGUCUUGA
rnacentral:rRNA from 1 species